CUUAAACAUUUAAAUGCAGGUCUUCCCCUUGUGCCUUCAUCUUGGGUAAUCUGGGACAGCCUCUCUUAGUUCACCAUGGCCCUGCUUGCUGCGUUGUCCUCUCCAAAGAGAGAGAGAAAGAGAAAGAGCCUUCCUUGGUUGUUGUCCUUUUAAAGACUGAUUCUUGGAGUAAUAAACUACAAGUCCCAGAAUCCCUUUUCCCUCCCAAAAGUGGUUUAUCC